GGUGAACGCUGGCGGUAGGCCUAACACAUGCAAGUCGAACGGCAGCACAGUAAGAGCUUGCUCUUACGGGUGGCGAGUGGCGGACGGGUGAGGAAUACAUCGGAAUCUACUUUUUCGUGGGGGAUAACGUAGGGAAACUUACGCUAAUACCGCAUACGACCUACAGGUGAAAGCAGGGGAUCUUCGGACCUUGCGCGAUUGAAUGAGCCGAUGUCGGAUUAGCUAGUUGGCGGGGUAAAGGCCCACCAAGGCGACGAUCCGUAGCUGGUCUGAGAGGAUGAUCAGCCACACUGGAACUGAGACACGGUCCAGACUCCUACGGGAGGCAGCAGUGGGGAAUAUUGGACAAUGGGCGCAAGCCUGAUCCAGCCAUACCGCGUGGGUGAAGAAGGCCUUCGGGUUGUAAAGCCCUUUUGUUGGGAAAGAAAAGCAGCAGGUUAAUACCCCGCUGUUCUGACGGUACCUAAAGAAUAAGCACCGGCUAACUUCGUG
rnacentral:rRNA from 1 species